rnacentral:rRNA from 1 species
UACCUACGGGAGGCUGCAGUCGAGAAUCUUCGGCAAUGGGCGCAAGCCUGACCGAGCGACGCCGCGUGCGGGAUGAAGGCCUUCGGGUUGUAAACCGCUGUCGGAGGGGAGGAAAUGCGCGGGGGUUCUCCCUCGCGUUUGACCUAGCCUCAGAGGAAGGACGGGCUAAGUUCGUGCCAGCAGCCGCGGUAAGACGAACCGUCCAAACGUUACUCGGAAUUACUGGGCUUAAAGGGUGCGUGGGCGGCUCAGAAAGUUGGGUGUGAAAGCCCUCGGCUUAACCGAGGAGGGUCGCCCAAAACUACUGGGCUUGAGGAAGACAGAGGUGCGCGGAACUUGCGGUGGAGCGGUGAAAUGCGUUGAUAUCGCAAGGAACACCAGGGGCGAAAGCGGCGCACUGGGUCUUUUCUGACGCUGAGGCACGAAAGCUAGGGGAGCGAAGAGGAUUAGAUACCCCAGUAGUCCA